rnacentral:lncRNA from 1 species
GAGCACCGUUUCUCUGGGUAUCCUAAAAGGACGCACCAACCAAGUGGAAAAGCUCAAGGAAAAGUGAAUUGUUUCUGACUUCCACUCAGCUGAAGGUUGUCAAGCUGCCUCAUAGCAGAAGGUGACCUGCCAUCUUUUGGGUUCCAUCCUCUUGAAUAUUGCUGGAAAGGAAGCCAGGCCAAACGCCCCUG